GACGAACGCUGGCGGCGUGCUUAACACAUGCAAGUCGAACGGUAAGGCCCUUCGGGGUACACGAGUGGCGAACGGGUGAGUAACACGUGGGUGAUCUGCCCUGCACUUCGGGAUAAGCCUGGGAAACUGGGUCUAAUACCGGAUAGGACUCCUGCCUGCAUGGGUGGGGGUGGAAAGCUUUUGUGGUGUGGGAUGGGCCCGCGGCCUAUCAGCUUGUUGGUGGGGUGAUGGCCUACCAAGGCGACGACGGGUAGCCGGCCUGAGAGGGUGACCGGCCACACUGGGACUGAGAUACGGCCCAGACUCCUACGGGAGGCAGCAGUGGGGAAUAUUGCACAAUGGGCGCAAGCCUGAUGCAGCGACGCCGCGUGAGGGAUGACGGCCUUCGGGUUGCAAACCUCUUUCAGCACAGACGAAGCGCAAGUGACGGUAUGUGCAGAAGAAGGACCGGCCAACUACGUGCCAGCAGCCGCGGUAA
rnacentral:rRNA from 1 species